AUCCAUGGAUUCCAUGUCUUGGGAUGGAAAAAAGUUUGCAUGGAUUUUGAGUUACAUUGACUGCCAGAAGACAAGAAAACUUUAAAAAAUAUCUAGGGUCAUACUGAAAAGACAAAAGAGAUAGUUUUUAAAAACUUCUACUUGCCAAGUUAUAACAGUUUGAAUAUCAAAACAGAAUAUUAACCAUAGCUAAUUGGAAUGAAUUGAAUCUAUAUGAAAGUUAUGGCAUUCCAAGACAAAAUAAGUUCAUUAAAGAUGAUAAUUAUGAUACAAAAGAAGAAUGAAUACAAUUUUUAAGUUAACCAAAAUUAGUAGCGGACUAUUGACAUAUAUGAUGUUCUGUUUUUCAGAUGCAUGUGUGUAUUUUUUUACCUACCUCUGUGCAUAAUGGAGAGGGAUGGGCAAAAUAGUUCUCAAAGGGGAUGGGAAUUGCACAAAGAGCAGAAGGGCCUAUAACCUCAAUGGACCAUGGACAAGAACUAGGUGGAAAGCAUGGCAGUGGGUUGCCAUAUGAUGGAUUGUUCAAAAUUUAGAAAGAAGAGCUGAUAGUUCAACUUAGCUUCUUGUCUCCUAGAAAAUGAAACCUCUAGAUGACUCAACUGAUUUUACUGAGAUACAAAAACUAUAUAAUGAGUUAAAUUGUAAAUCAAAGCUACACAUCCUCCAUUAGUUUGCUAGGGCUGUUGUAACACAGCACCACAGACUUAAACAGAAAUUUAUUUUCUCACAGUCUAGAAGCUAAAAGUCUGAGAUCAAGGUGUCAGCAGUUUCUUUCUGAAGGCUGAGAGGGAGAAUCUGUUUCCUGGCCUUUCCACUCGGCUUAUAGAUACCAUCUUCUCCCUGUGUCUUCACAUUAUCUUCCCUCUGUAUGUGUCUAUGUCCCAAUUUCCUCUUCUUGUAAGGACACCAGUCAUAUUGGAUUAGGGUGCACCCUAAUGACCUCACUUUCAUUUAAUUACCUCUUUAAAGAUUCUGACUCCAAAUACAGUUAUAUUCUGAGGAACUAUGGGUUAGGACUUCAAGCUAUGAAUCUUUGGAAGGACAGAAUUCAGCCUAUAACAUGUCCCAUGACAUGGAUGUGACGAAAGAAGACAGCAGAGGCACCAAGUUGCAGGAAAAGGCAUGGCUGUGGACGUUCUCGUUGACACAAGGAGUCAAUCUUGAUUCUAAGAGGAGCCCAGAUGAUGUCAAGGUUCAUGUGGAAGAUGGGCUCAUAGAUCCAUGCAGAGUCAUCUGAGUCUGCACUGGUAUUAGCCAAUGACUAGUCUGGUAUGCACUCUGAACCGAAGACUGCCCUGGGGUCAGCAUCUGGACUGCCAUGACUGGAGUUCAAGGUCCUGGCUUUUCUGCUGAGGGACCAGAGUUCUCACACACUGUGUCUUCUUUCAAGUCAUGACUCUGAUUUCCUGGGAUGGGCCAGUGUAUCCAGUGCCCUGUAGAGCAGCCUGUUUCGGGCUUGGUAGUGGAAGGAAGCAUCGAGGCUCCCACGUCAUGCCUACAUUCAGGAUCUAUGUUCAGCUCUGCCUCCAGCAGCAGGUUACUCUUUUCAUGAAGAGGAGGAGGACAAAGCGUAUACUUCAGCCCAGCCACAACGUCAGCACAAAGCUCAAGGCCAGCUGUGGGCUCUUGGAAUAAUUGAGUGAGGCAGAGAAAUGCAGGGUCAUGAUGACAGAGAGAGAAUCUUAGCUGGGGUCUAGAAGUGAUCAAGAGACAUAUUCAGAGUGUACUGUAGAAAAAUAAAAUCUUUAUUAAUAUUUAAAAUUAACUUUGAG
rnacentral:lncRNA from 1 species